UCGACAGCGCCAUAAGGACGGAGAGGACACGCGUUCAGAACUCCCUCCGGAAAACACCAACUUUAACGAUGCCAGAGACUUCACACACGCUGAUGGUCUCAGAGUGAAAACAGACAAUUUGAUCCACAAGAGUUACAAAAAGGGGAAGCAAACGGACUUUUUACUGAGAAAACACAAAGUGAUAAACGACUUAAACCAGCCAGAUACAAACAGGCCCUCCGCAAAUAUCUGAGUAAACACCGUUAAUUUUAAAUGGAAGUUUGGUGACGGGAGAUUCUUUACAAGGAGCUUUAAGAGUUAACAGCAAAGUUAUUUUAGCUCAUUUGGAGCUACAAAGUAAAAUGUAGCGUCGAUCAGAUGAUAAAAGUCGGAGAUUAUUUAAAUCCAAAGAGGUUUAGAGAUUAAAAAGUGAAAUCUGAUAAUCAGCGCGAGGCCUUGAAUAGUUUAGAGGAUUAAAACACACUAUUUAUUUCCCCUCUUUAUUCGUGUCUAUCACUAAGAUAUCUGCUGAAACGUGUUUUAAACUAAACUCAGAUCCUUAAAGUUUCCAGUCUAAAUGUUCCUGCAGUCGCGGUUGUGAUUUUCACAGCGACCAUUUCAGAAAAGUUUGCGGAAGCGCAGAAGAAGUCAAACAGCGACAUUUUGAUCCAGACAUGUUAAAGUUGCUGUGAAGUACCGGGAGGUGUUUGUUCUGUGGGUUUCUGGGGCGGUGAGUUAAAGCAAAGUGCCGGGCCGGAGUGUUAGCCAUGGUCCUGAUCAGCCCCGGACAGCGCCUUCUUCUCCAACUCACCGCCUCCAUUUUCCUCCCAACUACCAACAACUUUCCGGCGGCUCCGCUCGGACUAACAGCCGCAGCAGCUGCGCUCUGCGCCGGACACUAAGCAGCGAACAGCCGCGGGACUCACCGGCUUCAGUCUGACCAUAAAGGUGAACUGAACCAAGAGCUGAACGCUGCAGAGAGUUCAUCUGAGCAAGUCCUGCAACACGUCGCACACCUUUCCAAACACCAGCUCCGAGUGCAGACCCAGAGACCCUGAAACAGGAAAAAGUCCCGGUUACCUGAAGAGUCCAGAAUCUGAGACCCUGCUAAUACCGGAUUUCAAAGAACUUGAAGAAAACAAUAAAUGAAGAAUAUUCCCAGGAGAAGGACAGACGCAUGUGUCCCAACCUGAGGGACAGCGAGGGGCUCGGCCAAUCCCCACUUCUGUUUGCAGUUUAAAUUGUGUUAUUUUUGUUUUUGUCAUUUCUAACUGCUAAACUGAGCGGUCUUGAUUGGAUUAAUCUUGUAAACCUUGCAAUUAUGUAAGAUGGUUUAACUGAAACAUUUGUGCCAACAAAGCCGAUUGAUCUGGACUGAAGUCUGGAUAAAGGAUUCCUCCAGGUCUCAAUGAUCCCACCACCUAACCGUAUUAAAUAGUUUGGAGAAGUUGACGUUACUGAGAAUAAAAACAUGCCGUCUCUCUCU